rnacentral:rRNA from 1 species
UACGAAGGGGGCUAGCGUUGCUCGGAAUGACUGGGCGUAAAGGGCGCGUAGGCGGACGGCUUUGUCGGGCGUGAAAUUCCAGGGCUUAACCUUGGGGCUGCGUUCGAGACGGGUUGUCUAGAGUUUGGAAGAGGGUCGUGGAAUUCCCAGUGUAGAGGUGAAAUUCGUAGAUAUUGGGAAGAACACCGGUGGCGAAGGCGGCGACCUGGUCCUUGACUGACGCUGAGGCGCGAAAGCAUGGGGAGCGAACAGG